UACGGGGGGGGGCAAGCGUUGUUCGGAAUUACUGGGCGUAAAGGGCUCGUAGGUGGCCAACUAAGUCGGACGUGAAAUCCCUCGGCUUAACCGGGGAACUGCGUCCGAUACUGGUUGGCUUGAGUUUGGGAGAGGGAUGCGGAAUUCCAGGUGUAGCGGUGAAAUGCGUAGAUAUCUGGAGGAACACCGGUGGCGAAGGCGGCAUCCUGGACCGGCAUUGACGCUGAGGAGCGAAAGCCAGGGGAGCAAACGGG
rnacentral:rRNA from 1 species